rnacentral:rRNA from 1 species
UGUAAAAUCUUAGUGGCGGACGGGUGAGUAACGCGUGGGUAACCUGCCUUACACUGGGGGAUAACACUUAGAAAUAGGUGCUAAUACCGCAUAAGCGCACGAAGCCGCAUGGAUUUGUGUGAAAAACUCCGGUGGCGUAAGAUGGACCCGCGUCUGAUUAGCUUGUUGGCGGGGUAACGGCCCACCAAGGCGACGAUCAGUAGCCGGCCUGAGAGGGUGGACGGCCACAUUGGGACUGAGACACGGCCCAAACUCCUACGGAAGGCAGCAG